AUGAACGCUAGCGGCAGGCUUAACACAUGCAAGUCGAGGGGCAGCACGGGUAGCAAUACCGUGGUGGCGACCGGCGCAAGGGUGCGUAACGCGUGAGCAACAUGCCCUAUACGAGGGGGAUAAUCCAGGGAAACUUGGUCUAAUAUCCCAUAGUAUUUAGAGGAGGCAUCUUCUAUAAAUUAAAGCUUCGGUGGUAUAGGAUUGGCUCGCGUGACAUUAGCUAGAUGGUGAGGUAACGGCUCACCAUGGCAAUGAUGUCUAGGGGUUCUGAGAGGAAGGCCCCCCACACUGGGACUGAGACGACGGACCAGACUCCUACGGGAGGCAGCAGUGAGGAAUAUUGGUCAAUGGGCGAGAGCCUGAACCAGCCAAGUCGCGUGAAGGAAGAAUGCGCUACGCGUUGUAAACUUCUUUUCCAGGGGGAGAAUAAUCCUGUCGUGACAGGACUUGACGGUACUCUGGGAAUAAGCAUCGGCUAACUCCGUG
rnacentral:rRNA from 1 species